AUGGUUGAGAUUAGUGAACUGCACUAUUAUUUUUUAUUUUUUUCUUCUCACCUUUUUAUGAAUACAUCCUGGCUGCUGAGACAAAGCAGGUGUACUACAUCAAUGGUUUUCUAUAGAUUGAACCAUAAGCACUUCCUGCGCACACGGACCGGACUGCAAGUGCACCACCAGGAAAUUGGAACGAUAUCGUACAUAUACAUGUAUAUACUCCCAUCGCACAACAAAACGAGUGACGUUUCUCAGAAGAUAACCGCAUUGCAAGAUUACAAAUCACUGGACGUCUCCCUGAAGAAAACUGCACCGCCAGACUACAAACUAAAGAAAACUAAAAAGAAAGAAUUGUAG
rnacentral:rRNA from 1 species